UGCCUCCUCGUUAUUCAAACCACUGCUCUCUCUCCCCACCCUAUUUGUGCAAAUCUUGCCAAUCCUUUAAGGCUCAAAUCAAAUCCCACUUCCUCAUUCAAGAUUUUCCUGAGUCUUCUAGCUUUGAAAUUCACCUUUCCUCCUCUGAUGCUGUUGUGUUCCGUUGCAAUUCAUAAUUUACUUCCUCUUCAUGUGGUCAUGUUUUAUCUUCCCAACUAGAAAGGCAACUUCUUAAAGGUGAAAGCCAACUCAGCAACGUCUCUUUAAGGAGAUAAUAUGAAGAGGCAUCAGCUUUUGUUCUGAUACCAUCAACAAUGAUCCAGAUGAAAAGGAAUGUGGUUCAACCUCCAUAUUUCUCAUAAAGAGAAAACUGAGGUCCAGAGAAGUGAAAUGGCUUAUCCAGAGGCAGUCAGGAGCCUUGUUUGCUGCAUGUGUGCCAGAACCUCGGAGCAGGAAACAUGCCAUCAGAAUGAAUGUGUCUGCCUGGCAAGGGCAGGGCAGAGCGGAAUCGAUUACAGAGAGGAAGGCGGGCAGUUGAAUGGGAUGCUGCCUAAAGAGAACCCAGCAGAUCCAUUCACUCUGCGAGCCAGUCUUGACCUUCUGCGCCUUAGGACCAUCUCCCUAGGACCACCAGCAUGAAGUUCAUGUGUCAAGAAGAAGUCGUCUGUGUUCUCCAAAAGCAACUUCAUGACCAGUUUUGAAAUAAUUCAAAACAUUUGCUCUCUUCAGAUCAGCUUCCUUCAAGCCAAUGUUUAUUUAAUUCAUAUGUCUGAAGUUUUCUGGCUCUUGAAAGUCAACAUUCUUGGUCUCCUCCCCUGUCCCAGCAUGUUUAAGUUGAGAUGGUGUUCUUUCUUGUUUCCUUAAGAGCUCUUGCCAAGUCACUGGGCAUGUCUCUCUUGUUCAUCUUCUGAAAAUCUUCAAUAAAUACAUGUCCUGAUUCUCCCA
rnacentral:lncRNA from 1 species